GCGGGUAUGAUGGAAUUGGCAGACAUGCGAGAUUUAGGUUCUCGUGCCGAGAGGCGUGCAGGUUCGACCCCUGUUACCCGCACCA
rnacentral:tRNA from 1 species